rnacentral:rRNA from 1 species
GUUGCCAGCAUUAGUUGGGCACUCUAAGGGGACGUGCCGGUGAUAAGCCGAGAGGAAGUGGGGAUGACGUCAAGUCCUCAUGGCCCUUACGGGCUGGGCUACACACGUGCUACAAUGGUGGUGACAGUGGGCAGCGAGCACGCGAGUGUGAGCUAAUCUCCAAAAGCCAUCUCAGUUCGGAUUGCACUCUGCAACUCGAGUGCAUGAAGUUGGAAUCGCUAGUAAUCGCGGAUCAGCAUGCCGCGGUGAAUACGUUCCCGGGCCUU